AAUAUCUCGUUUAUUUUCAUGCGUGCACAUACAGAUCCCUGAAAAUAGAACUCUUCCAAACGAGGUGCCAUCCACCAACCGAUUUCAACCAUUCAGCCAUAUUUUUGAAGAACAGAAAACAUUGUCAUGAUCCCUGCACUAAACAAAUGGAAAAUUUAAUUUAAUACAUGUAGUACCAUUGAAAUAAAUCACAUAAGACAAUAGAAACGAAUGUAUUAAAGUGGAUAUGUUGUAACCAGCAUAUAGCAGCAUAAUAUCCCUGGAGCAGCAACUGCCAGAGAAUGUGACACAUAACAAGGAGGAUCCAGGAAUGCCCUCCUCCUCCCUCCCUUGUGCAUUCCAUCAACAGGGAGGUCAUGUUACUGGGCGCCAGCAGCAAGGAGGCUGUGAAGCAAAAGCGCGUGUUGUCUCUGAAGCAGAAGUUGGUGGCAUCCAGUGAAGGAGUCAUUGUUCCAACGAUGUUAUUUUGUUCAGGGCAGACAAGGCUUCAGAUUCAGGAGUGAUAUGCAGCAAAUUCUCCCCCUGUUACUGUGCGCCAACUGCAAGGAGCUUCUGCAGCAAAAGUUGGUGAGAACAAAAGGAGACCUGCAGAGGGCUUCAUGCUGGAAAGGAUAUAUCUGGGGUCCUGCCGAAUUUUAUUUUCUGAGAGAUAGUGCGCCAAAGGAACUUCAGUUCUUCCAAGUGCCAUGCAUCAGUGAUGCACCCCACUCCUCUUGCUUCAGCAACUCGCGUUACAUACAAGUUCAGGCGUAAGAACCACCACUCACUUUUUUUCACAUUCAUCCAGCUGUAAAUUAUAUACACAAUCAAUACAUCAUCCAAAAACACAUGCUACUACUCACAUUGAAGUGAAAAAUGGUAGAAAUUAUAUAGUUUGGAAAAGACAAUUUGUGGAGGGAGUUGGAAGUGCUUGAAGAAGAGUAUGCAGUAUGUUGCUCUAGAAGAGUUGCUGGAGAAAGUUGAAGUUUCUUGUGCACAUUAUCUUGUAGAAAAUAAAAUUGCACGGCACUGCACACUUCCUCUCCAGCACGUUGACUCUGAUGCCUCAACCCCCCCCCACACACACACACACACACACACAAAGCAAAGCCAAAAGGCUACUAUUAGUUUUCAUCAUCCUCUACCAAAUAAAUAAAGCCAUCAUUUAGUCAAACAAUUUUAGUUUUAAUAAUUCAAAAUCUUGUUAUACCAUUUGACCUUUUCAAUAGAAUGUGGAGAGAGAAAGUUUUGCAUGUUGUUGAGCACUCUUGUGUCUGGGUUAAGGUUGCUAUCUGUUUGUUUUCUCUGCUAAAGAAAGGUAAAAUAUAUAUAAACUGCACAUUAUGACUGUACAAAACGUAACAGGCACAUUGUAUGUAGGAUUACAGGCUCUCAUGCCAGUGGUUAUGAAGAAUUCUGUUUAGUUUGUUGAAAGUCAACUGACAUUUCAGAGGAACACGUUACCUCCACCUUCAGGGCUGACGAACAAGCCAAGUAAGAAACCAGUGUGAAGCAGGUGGCAAGCAGAAAAACUUUAAUGUUUAUAUGUUUUGUACGUAUUGGUACUAGACGAAACAAAUAGAUAACCACCCUAGCCCAAUAGCAACAUUACUGAGUAACAUGUAAAAGUUCAUCUGUACUACACAUCCUGCAGAAAAGGUCUAAUGAUGGUGUAAGAUUCUGGUCUAGAAGACCGAGAUUAACAGCCGUGGGAAUCUGUUGCGCUGACCACGCAACACCCUCUGUCUGCAAAA